UGGGGUAUAGCCAAGUGGUAAGGCAGUGGUUUUUGGUACCAUGUAGCGUAGGUUCGAAUCCUACUACCCCAA
rfam:Weissella kandleri strain DSM 20593 Scaffold7, whole genome shotgun sequence.